GCUCAUAUACAGCCUUGUUUGUGGGGUAUGCUACAGGCUCGACGGUAGCGCUGAGAAGGGUGGAACGCCACCAUGGACUGAAGAAUACCGUCCAAGAACUCGUACGGGAGGCAGCAGUGGGGGAAUAUUUGCACCAUGGGCGGAAGCCUUGAUGCAGCGACGCCCGCGUGGGGGAUGACCGGCCUUCCGGGUUGUUAAACCUCUUCGCCGGGGACGAAGCCUUUGUUGGUGACCGGUACCCGGGAUAAGAAGCACCGGCUAACUACGUGCCAGCAGCCGCGGUAAUACGUAGGGUGGCGAGCGUUUUCCGGAAUUACUGGGCGUAAAGAGCUCGUAGGUGGUUUGUCGCGUCGUCUGUGAAAUUCCGGGGCUUAACUUCGGGCGUGCAGGCGAUACGGGCAAUACUUGAGUGCUGUAGGGGAGACUGGAAUUCCUGGUGUAGCGGUGAAAUGCGCAGAUAUCAGGAGGAACACCGAUGGCGAAGGCAGGUCUCUGGGCAGUAACUGACGCUGAGGAGCGAAAGCAUGGGUAGCGAACAGGAUUAGAUACCCUGGUAGUCCAUGCCGUAAACGGUGGGCGCUAGGUGUAGGGGUCUUCCACGACUUCUGUGCCGUAGCUAACGCAUUAAGCGCCCCGCCUGGGGAGUACGGCCGCAAGGCUAAAACUCAAAGGAAUUGACGGGGGCCCGCACAAGCGGCGGAGCAUGUGGAUUAAUUCGAUGCAACGCGAAGAACCUUACCUGGGCUUGACAUACACCGGAUCGGGCUAGAGAUAGUCUUUCCCUUGUGGCUGGUGUACAGGUGGUGCAUGGUUGUCGUCAGCUCGUGUCGUGAGAUGUUGGGUUAAGUCCCGCAACGAGCGCAACCCUUGUCUUAUGUUGCCAGCACGUGAUGGUGGGGACUCAUGAGAGACUGCCGGGGUCAACUCGGAGGAAGGUGGGGAUGACGUCAAAUCAUCAUGCCCCUUAUGUCCAGGGCUUCACACAUGCUACAAUGGUCGGUACAACGCGUCCGCGACACUGCGAGGUGGAGCUAAUCGCUGAAAGCCGGCCUCAGUUCGGAUUGGGGUCUGCAACUCGACCCCAUGAAGUCGGAGUCGCUAGUAAUCGCAGAUCAGCAACGCUGCGGUGAAUACGUUCCCGGGCCUUGUACACACCGCCCGUCACGUCAUGAAAGUUGGUAACACCCGAAGCCAGUGGCCCAACCCUUGUGGGGGAAGCUUUACUUUUUAGUUUUUCGC
rnacentral:rRNA from 1 species